AUUGAACGCUGGCGGCAUGCUUUACACAUGCAAGUCGAACGGCAGCACGGACUUCGGUCUGGUGGCGAGUGGCGAACGGGUGAGUAAUACAUCGGAACGUGCCCAGCUGUGGGGGAUAACUACUCGAAAGAGUAGCUAAUACCGCAUGAGAACUGAGGUUGAAAGCAGGGGAUCGUAAGACCUUGAGCAACUGGAGCGGCCGAUGGCAGAUUAGGUAGUUGGUGGGAUAAAAGCUUACCAAGCCGACGAUCUGUAGCUGGUCUGAGAGGACGACCAGCCACACUGGGACUGAGACACGGCCCAGACUCCUACGGGAGGCAGCAGUGGGGAAUUUUGGACAAUGGGCGAAAGCCUGAUCCAGCAAUGCCGCGUGCAGGAUGAAGGCCUUCGGGUUGUAAACUGCUUUUGUACGGAACGAAAAGCUUCGGGCUAAUACCCUGGAGUCAUGACGGUACCGUAAGAAUAAGCACCGGCUAACUACGUGCCAGCCGCCGCAGUAACAC
rnacentral:rRNA from 1 species